rnacentral:misc_RNA from 1 species
GUUACACCCCGCGUUGUGUGUGAGGAAGGCAAGCACCCCCUGUCCCCUGCCAAUGCCGAACAACCUCUGGUGGUGGCAGGGCCAAGCAGCUGUGACGUAGGGGUGGACAGGGCGAUGUGUCGCUGCUGAUGUCGGCGGUCAGGUCGUGGAUGGCGUUGCGCCGGAGCGGCCUGCGGCAGUGAACGCACUUGCGCCAUCCAUCUGGUGGGCAUGGUGUCGCCGCAGCUGGAGCGCAUCCCCGCCCCGCGCCUCACACUGCCUGCUGGCGGGGGGAGCCUGAGCUACCCCGAGGGACGCACGAGGUGGGGACCGGCGCAAUGUGAGCCGCUGUGAGGCGGCCUCCGCUUCGCAGGCCGGUAGUGUUUUGAGGCAGAGGCCAUGCUCGGAUGACGGAGUCGGCGCAUUGCUGUAGAGCGUGUGCACGACUGCUUUGCGCCACGCGAUGGGGGCCUGCGACAUGCCGGGUGGAGUGUUGUCGAGCUCACGUUGCGUGGCGGAAAGUGGGAUCGCAGAUCUUUGCGAAAGGCGUUGCACUGUCUGAAGGAGGUUGUGAAGAGUUUUAAGGUGGUUGUUCGCAUGGGUGGUGUCGUGGUGGAGUGAGACGUAGACUUGCUGUGUGUGUGCAAGCGAUCUGGUUAGGAAAAGGUUGGAACUGUUGUGCUUUUUAUAUGUUUUUUUUUUGCUUUCGAAAAUGCGGUGUCUUUUUUCAGCACGGUUUUUUUUCGUUGCACUUUUGGCCGAGUGGGGGCUUUGUUGUGUAGCUGAUCACAUGGUAGUCUUAGAGCUGUGUUGAACAUCGCUGACUUUCUUGUUUUACGAAGCACCCAGAAAGAUGUUUUUUGGAAGACUUCUUUAAGUGGGGUUUUUAUCACUGGUGUUCUUGGGCACGAGAGAUUCUCAACGGUGUGCUGAGCAUGUGUGAAGAGCAGCUGGCAAAGGCGAAUUGGGUAGUUGCUGGGCGAGUGAUAAACGGAGAGCGCAUGGAUGCUGGCAGGCGCUUUCCGACGAUGAGGAAAGGGGUAUGGAAGAGUGACUCGAGCUGUAAGAGGACUUCGGACCUGCUAAGCGGGGACGGUGGUAGAGAAAAUUUCUAGUGGAGUACGGCGGGCUCUAUCAUGUACGCCAUCGUGUGGUGUAUUUCGGCUAUUGUGUGACAUGGGGUGGAGCCUUUGCGGGCGCGAGGUGUGGUCGGGUCGAGUAGCAGCUUUGAGGCAUGCUGCUUACUUGAAUCUGUGACGUACAGUUUCGAUUAUCGUUUACGAAGUAGUUUGUACGGCUUAGAGUCGAGGAAUGUGCUCACCUCAGUAUGUAAAAACAGGCAAAAAACAAGCAAUUUUGACAGCUUCCGCAUUCGGCAGUAUGGAGGCGUACAGCGACGAUACGUUAUGCAUUGUGUGCUGACAGGAUUACCUCUGACCUCUGAUGUAACUUGUGACCUCUUUUUCAAUCAUCACAUUUUUUCUUUUCGACUCCUGUUCUUUCAACUGCGGUGGAAACAG